AUGUUAUGCCAGAUCCUUGGUCAGGCCAAGAAGCAUCCAAGCUUGAUCCCUGUCUUAGUAUUUAUUGGGGCAGGAGGUAGUGGAUCAGUGUUGUAUGUCUUGUGCCUGGCAUUGUUCAUUCAAGAUGUCAGUUGGGAUAGGAAGAGUAACCCAGAACCCUGGAAUGAACUGGGUUCAAAUGAUCAAUGCAAGUUCUACUCAGUGAAUGUAGAUUACAGCAAACUGAAGAAAGAAGGUCCAGACUUCUAAAAGAAAUGUUUCAUUAUAAAGCUGCUUAGAAUGAAGGUCUUCCAGAAGCC